GUCAUAUAAUGAACUGCAGCUUGAUUUUUGUCUUUUACAAAUUGGACAAAUUUGAGAAUCAAAUUCUCUUUCCAUGAUGCGAUACUUUAAUAAAUAAAAACGUUUUUAGGUCCGUCAGUCUUGAUGAUCGCUGCCUUUUGCGUCAUCGCCUUCCAGCCAAUGACACGGCGAAUUCCAGAGCCGAGACACCCAAGAUGUAAAUCUUACAAACAUGGCGACGCUCCGGAGAGAGUACGGAGCAUUGCAAUGAGACUGCUUUCAGCGGAAAGAAUUGCCUCAACUUGGCUUGUUACAAUGUGGUGGAGUUAGCCAGAGCCACCGCGUGCACAGCCAUUAGAUCAUGUUAGCUGAGGCCAGUCUGUCCAUCUGGGGAUGGGGGGGUCUUGGAGUUGUGCUGUUUUUUGUCACCUUUGGACCUUUCGCCAUAUUUUACCUGGCAUUUUAUAUCUUCUGCUUCAUUGGAGGGGGAUUUGCGGUUACAUUGCUUUACGGGAAGAUAAACUCAGAGAAACACUUGGAAAAGUGCGAACAUUCAUACCUGCCACCUACACAACCCGGUAUUCUGAAGACACUUGAUGAGAUGAAGCUGGAGCUGAAGCCUAUAAAGAUUGACAGGAGACUGACUGGCUCCAGUUUCAUUGAUGAGCCACUACAGCAGGUGAUCCAGUUUGCACUGAGAGACUAUAUUCAGUACUGGUACUACACUCUGAGUGAAGAUGAGUCGUUCCUGUUGGAGAUCAGACAAACACUGCAGAAUGCCCUCAUCCAGUUCUCCACACGCUCAAAAGAAGUGGACUGGCAGCCUUACUUCACUACACGCCUGGUGGACGACUUUGCCACACAUCUACGUGUCUUCAGAAAAGCGCAGGAUCGCCUGGCUGAGCGGGAGGACAAGCAAAGGGACACCACAGAAGAGCUGGUCGACUCCUUCUUCGAGGCAGAGGUGGAGAUGGAGAGGAAGGUUUGUCGAGACAUGGUGUGCACCUCACACAAAGAUGAAGAAGGUUUUCUUCGGGACUUGUGCGAGUUGCUUCUCUAUCUUUUACUACCUCCCGGAGACUUCCACAACAAAAACAUGAGAUAUUUUUUGAGGGAAGUUCUAGCGUGUGGUGUGCUGCUGCCUCUGAUCAACCAGCUAAGCGACCCAGAUUACAUCAACCAGUUUGUCAUCUGGAUGAUUCGGGACUCCAGCUGUAACUAUGAAGCCUUCAUGAACAUUUUGAAGUUAACAGACAAGCCUACUGAGUUGGAGGCAGUUAAAGACAAGGUUCUGGAGGAGCUGCAGUACUUGCGCUCUCUGGACACUGCUGGAGAUGACAUCAAUGUGAUCAAGAACCAGAUUAACAGUCUUCUGUUUGUGAAGAAGGUGUGUGAGACCAGGAUCCAGAGACUCCAGUCCGGAAAGGAGGUCGACGCCUUGAAACUGGCGGCCAACUUUGGGAAGCUGUGUGUGAUCCCUCUAGAACACAUCCUCGUCCAUAACAUUGCACUGCAGUUCUUUAUGGACUUUAUGCAGGCGGCGGGUGCUCAGGCGGAGCUGUUCUUCUGGCUCACUGUUGAGGGCUACAGGGUGACGGCCCAGCAGCAGCUGGAGGCCAUGCUGAGCUGCCAGAAAGACGGCAAGAAGCAGCCCAGCGCCACAAAGGGGCUGCUGAAAGCUGCUGCUCUAGGUGUUUAUGAACAAUACCUCUCUGAAAAGGCAUCUCCCAGGGUCCAAGUUGACAAAACAUUAAUAACAAAACUGGGGGAGAAGCUCCAAAAUGAUGACCCCACACCUGAAAUCUUUGAUGAAAUCCAGAGAAAGGUGUACGACAUGAUGCUACGUGAUGAGCGCUUUUACCCAGCCUUCAAGCAGAGCCCUCUGUACGUACGCAUGCUGGCAGAGCUGGACAUGCUGAAGGAGCCGAGCUACAGAGGAUCUGAUGACGGCGAGGGAGAAUCCUUUAACGGCUCACCCACUGGAAGCUUAAACCUGUGUCUAGACGACUAUUCAAACUCCUGCCAUGAAGACUUUUUGCAGCUACAGGUGGAUGACAACAUCCCACUACGGGUGAUGCUGCUGCUGAUGGAUGAGGUGUUUGACCUCAAAGAGAAGAACCAGUGGCUGCGCCGGAACAUCAAGAACCUUCUGCAGCAGCUGAUUAGAGCCACUUAUGGAGACACUAUCAACAGGAAAAUUGUAGAUCAUGUAGACUACUUGACGUCACCAGAACAGGUGGCAGAAUAUGUGAAGAAGUUCAGGGACUCCUACUGGCCCAAUGGCAUUCUGGCUGAGAGCCCGCCCCGUCGGGACAAGAGCAUCCGCAUGAGGACGCGAGUGGCAGCAAAGACCAGCUUGUUGGGUAUCAUGCCAGAUGAACUGAAACACAUCAUUGGAGCAGAGACCACCAGAAAGGGGAUCCUCCGCGUCUUCGACAUGUUCCAGUACCAGCCCAUGAACCGGCGGCUGGUGUACGUGUUCCUGGAGGGCUUCCUGGAGACCAUGUUUCCGCAGUACAAAUUCCCCGAGCUCUUCGUGAAGCUGCAUUCCCGUUCUCCGCGCAUCCACAGAUACAACCAGAAACUCAAAUGCUCUUCUGCGAAGAGGUGA
ensembl:lncRNA